AAAAGACUGGCAAGCCAACUCUCAGAAGCAGAGAAAGCUCUACAUUAAUAAGCAACAAAAAAGAAAAGGAGAGAAAGGCACCAUCUGGCUUUGCCCUUCCCACAAAAAUGUCAGGCUCUUGCCUUGCUCUGGAAGUGUACAGAAGCUGCACAUCAGCACUGGGAGACUCAGGAGUGGGGUCCUGGGGAAUGCUUUUUUGAGUGAGCAACUUUUCAAGAGGAAAAACAUGGCCCAGGGCAGUUUUCUCACAGUAAGGAAUGUGGAAGGUUAACCCCAGAUGUUCCUCCAUCUCUACAAAGUAGCAGAUGGCAAAGUGCAACAUCAGGGGUGCAUUUGACUGCCUGAGGAGCUGAUCCUGGAAGAAAAACCUCUGAGACCUGUGCAGCAGUCCAGAGCUCUGCUUGCAGCCAGCCCAGAGUUAAAUAGGAGACAUGUUCAGGAUCUGAUUGCCAAAAGAGCAAUAAUCCCCAAUCCAUCAGAUCAAGGCUGGAAGAUAAAUGAAGGGGAAUAACACCUGCAAGACAGAUUCCCAGAUGUCUAUAUUUGGCUCCAGCAAUCUGUGCUUCAGAGCGCUUGUCAUGUGUCAAGUUAAGACUGUAACUAGGACCAUCUAGAACUGAAGAAUUUGGAUCCAUCGUUCAUGAGGAAGGACAGGCUACCAGUUUCUCAAGGGGAGAAAAGCUAGGUUGCAUGUCCUAUGACCAUCAG
ensembl:lncRNA